GGGCUUCUUUUGAUCCUCACGAUCAUCACCGGCCGUGGGGACUUUAUCCCCCUGCAGAGGAGGAAACCGAGGCACAAGGAAAAGGAACUUCCCCGGCUCCUGGGUAGAGCCGAGAUUCGAACCCCCAUCUGCCCGACUCCAGACCCUCCCGUCUAACUCCAUGGCUUAGGGCUUCCCACAAACAGGUGGACACUUGUGGAGAGCGGAUGCUUGAGAACGCGUUGGUGGCCUCGUCCCCUGUCCACCCUGCUCUUUCCAUUCCACAGAGUCCACCGCUUUGUCCAGCACUGAUUUUCAGUUGGGGGCAGUUCACGCGCAGGGCUACUAAAUCCUCUGUCACUGACAAGGAAUCAAUAGCAGUCUUGGUCACGCCAAGGCCGCCCCCUCUGGAGGCUCGGCCAGCUCCCAGCCCUCACUGGCUUCCUCUUCCCCAAAGGAGACAACUGUCCCCAGAGACUUCCAGCCAGCACAGGCCAGGUCAGGCCACCUUCCGGAAUUCAGUCACCACAUCCUGUGGUCCUCUGGGUCUCCACAGUUCCUGUGGAAGGUGCUAAAGGUGGACAGCCGCAGCUGGGCAGGUAUCGGUUUAAGACUUACCUCCUGCAUUUAAAUACGCGUUUCAUUUCGUGGCGUUUUCACAUCUCUUCUCCCAGAGGAUGCUCCAUCAGCCCUGCCGAGAGUUGAAGGGAGCUAUUUGUACCCGUCUCUAGCCCGGCCCCAUCACCAUCUUUUGCAUAGAAAAGAGAUAACAGAAGAGUUUUACUUAUUUGGUCCAGAUCCAAAAAGUAAUGGAAGCCUAGGACCCAGAACCGUGGGGAGAGCUGGAUACACGGGACUCCUGAACGAUGACCACCGUCCACCUGUGAGGAGUGUUCAGCACAGGAUGAAAUCGCCUGACAGCCCCCAUCACACUGUUUCCCACCAGCCCCACGCCCCAGCACUGCCUCCAGACAUGUCCCGUUUUGAGGACCUCCCAUAGCUUUCUGCCUGGAUGAAAUUGUUCCCUUUUUCUCUCUCCUGUCACUUUCCUCUCUCUCUCUCUCUGACCUCCAGCGGUAACUUGUCUCCUACACCAGAAGUCUGGAAGGAAGUCCCUUCCCAGCGCACAGGUCUGAAUUCACACCAGGACCAUGCAGCACUCCUAAAGCUGAACCCUCCAGCAGAUCUGUUUGUUCAAAUUGGUGCUGGAGACGCUGAAGUUCAAGAUGAGACUGCUUUGCCUUCAAGGAGGUGGCAGCCUGGCUGAAGAGACCUUCUGACACCAGUGGAGGAAAGCUGUCACCAACACCAUCUUGGUUAUCUCUUGGCUUUGCAAGGACAAGGGCACUUUACAAACAGAAGUUGGCCCUGACCCUGCAGCAUGGGAGGAAGACCCAGACCCUGUUCCAUUUUUCCUGCUGCCCUCCCAUGGCUGCCAAACUGAGAAGAAGAGUGGGCCCUUUGGAGCUGACCAAGCCAGCCUUCGGAGAUCGGGUUGUUCAACAGGGUAACUUGCUUUCACACCCAAAGCAUUUUAGUCCUGACGUGCGACGGCCCAGCUGGCCCAUGGCUCGGGUGUCCUGAGGGUGGCAGAGCCACGUCCCGGCCUCCGCCUCCAGCCCAGCCGCUCCCCUCUGCCGCCCCUACCCCCAUCCACUAUUAGGUAUGCAUUUCAGAUUUUGAAUGGAUCUCCUUGUCCGGCGUUAAUUGACAGUGAAAGCCCGGUUUUCAAAACCCAGGUACAAGCACCGAAGGUGAGUGAUCAGAGGACUGCCCUCGUAAUAAAUCACCCCGCGCAGGUCGCCGCUUGGAGUGUGAAUGCACUGUUCAAUAAAGAAACACACUCCACCUUUCAGCUUCAGGCCGACCCCAGCUAAUUGACCUCAUUGG